UUAAUUGAAGCCAAAAUAGAGGCAUAUUAUUGUUAAUAAUAUUAUUGAAUUAAAAAUUAUUUCCAAUUAAA
rnacentral:tRNA from 1 species